GAUGAACGCUGGCGGCGUGCUUAACACAUGCAAGUCGAACGGUGAAAGAGAGCUUGCUCUCUGGAUCAGUGGCGAACGGGUGAGUAACACGUGAGCAAUCUGCCCCUGACUCUGGGAUAAGCGCUGGAAACGGCGUCUAAUACCGGAUACGAGCUGCGAAGGCAUCUUCAGCAGCUGGAAAGAACUUCGGUCAGGGAUGAGCUCGCGGCCUAUCAGCUAGUUGGUGAGGUAACGGCUCACCAAGGCGUCGACGGGUAGCCGGCCUGAGAGGGUGGCCGGCCACACUGGGACUGAGACACGGCCCAGACUCCUACGGGAGGCAGCAGUGGGGAAUAUUGCACAAUGGGCGAAAGCCUGAUGCAGCAACGCCGCGUGAGGGACGACGGCCUUCGGGUUGUAAACCUCUUUUAGCAGGGAAGAAGCGAAAGUGACGGUACCUGCAGAAAAAGCACCGGCUAACUACGUG
rnacentral:rRNA from 1 species